GACGAACGCUGGCGGCGUGCCUAGUACAUGCAAGUCGAACGAACCGCGACUAGGUGCUUGCACUUGGUCAAGGUGAGUGGCGAACGGGUGAGUAACACGUGGGUAACCUACCUCAUAGUGGGGGAUAACAGUCGGAAACGACUGCUAAUACCGCAUAGGACAUAGGAUCACAUGAUCCAGUGAGGAAAGGUGGCGCAAGCUAUCGCUAAGAGAUGGACCCGCGGUGCAUUAGCUAGUUGGUAGGGUAAAGGCCUACCAAGGCGAUGAUGCAUAGCCGACCUGAGAGGGUGAUCGGCCACAUUGGGACUGAGACACGGCCCAAACUCCUACGGGAGGCAGCAGUAGGGAAUCCUCCGCAAUGGACGCAAGUCUGACGGAGCAACGCCGCGUGAGUGAAGAAGGUCUUCGGAUCGUAAAGCUCUGUUGUUAGAGAAGAACAGCGCAUAGAGUAACUGUUAUGCGUGUGACGGUAUCUAACCAGAAAGCCACGGCUAACUACGUG
rnacentral:rRNA from 1 species